rnacentral:rRNA from 1 species
CGAGCGGAUGACGGGAGCUUGCUCCCRGAWUCAGCGGCGGACGGGUGAGUAAUGCCUAGGAAUCUGCCUGGUAGUGGGGGACAACGUUUCGAAAGGAACGCUAAUACCGCAUACGUCCUACGGGAGAAAGCAGGGGACCUUYGGGCCUUGCGCUAUCAGAUGAGCCUAGGUCGGAUUAGCUUGUUGGUGAGGUAAUGGCUCACCAAGGCGACGAUCCGUAACUGGUCUGAGAGGAUGAUCAGUCACACUGGAACUGAGACACGGUCCAGACUCCUACGGGAGGCAGCAGUGGGGAAUAUUGGACAAUGGGCGAAAGCCUGAUCCAGCCAUGCCGCGUGUGUGAAGAAGGUCUUCGGAUUGUAAAGCACUUUAAGUUGGGAGGAAGGGUUGUAGAUUAAUACUCUGCAAUUUUGACGUUACCGACAGAAUAAGCACCGGCUAACUCUGUGCCAGCAGCCGCGGUAAUACAGAGGGUGCAAGCGUUAAUCGGAAUUACUGGGCGUAAAGCGCGCGUAGGUGGUUUGUUAAGUUGGAUGUGAAAGCCCCGGGCUCAACCUGGGAACUGCAUCCAAAACUGGCAGGCUAGAGUACGGUAGAGGGUGGUGGAAUUUCCUGUGUAG